rnacentral:lncRNA from 1 species
CAGGAAGCGAGGGGAGUGCGGCCCCUUUUUGAGAAGAGACUUUCUAUCCUUUCUGUCGUCGUUCCGUACUGGAAACCCCUGGGCCGGCAGAGUCCUCCGCGGGGUCCUGGUCGCUGCACCCCGCAGGGUUCAACUGUGGCUCACGGCGGGCUGCGGGCUAAGCCUCUGACCGCUGGGAACAAGGGGAGCCUCUCCCGGCGCCUCCCCUCCGGGCCUUAGGGGCAUCUGGGCCCGGGGUCCCUGCCCUGAGCGGAAGUCACUGCAGCAAACCCGCUUGCUGCGUCCUCAGUCUGUCCCUCGGAGCCGACGCCUGCACCUCAGCCUGCACCCCCACAGCCCGCCCCUUCGCCUUUCGGGCUCCUCGCGAAGAUCCUUCAGAAUCCUGGACGCCGUCCGGUGCCCACGUGGGGGCACCCUGAAAAGCUGAGGUCUCCAUCUGAUUAUCACACCAAACAAAAUGAACAAUACUCCCUGAAUAAUAUCCAGGAUGCCAGGGAUCCUCUCCAUCCCUCCUUCCUUGAAGGGCCAUUGGGUUGGCUGUGUGGAGACAGGGAAGACUGCAGAGAGCACCAGGCCUCUGUAACCAAGAGACUCUCUCAUAGCCGCCAGUCCCCAGGGACAGGUGAGGAUUUCUUCUGCCGGAGUAAGAAGAGCCAGCGGACAGGCCACUUAUUCAUUACCUCCUGUUGCUGGAGAAGCCUAGGGGGACCCCAGGCUUUGAAGACCAAGCCUGCGAAGUUGAAGUCAGGACCUCCAGGCUGGGAAGAGCGGGGGAUACCCUGGCCUGAGGCCCUUCUGGAGGAACCCCCCCCCAUCAGCAACUCCAAGCAGCUCUGGCUGGCUGGUUGUGGAAGCAGCUUUGACUGAUCUCCCCACGCUCAGCCCUCCAGCCUUGCGCCCUAGGACCCGGGGAGAAGCAGCGGGAGCAUCUCCAAGAAGCCCUCACAUACUUCAUCUCCAAACUACACCUAGCUCAUAAAAGCCAGCGCAUGCAAUAAAUCCUCUCCUGCAGGACAAGGUUUUAAUUAAUUAU